rnacentral:rRNA from 1 species
CCUACGGGGGGCAGCAGUGAGGAAUAUUGGUCAAUGGGCGCAAGCCUGAACCAGCCAUCCCGCGUGCAGGAAGAAGGCGCUAUGCGUCGUAAACUGCUUUUCCAGGGGAAGAAAACCUGAUACGUGUAUCGGCUUGCCGGUACCCUGGGAAUAAGCAUCGGCUAACUCCGUGCCAGCAGCCGCGGUAAUACGGAGGAUGCGGGCGUUAUUGGGAUUUAUUGGGUUUAAGGCGUACUAAUAAGGAUUUGGUGAAAACCUUCAGCUUAACUGGAGACUUGCCAUUGAUACUGUUAGUCUUGAGUACGGUCAAGGUAGGCGGAAUGUGUAAUGUAGCGGUGAAAUGCUUAGAUAUUACACAGAACACCGAUUGCGAAGGCAGCUUACUGGACCGUAACUGACGCUGAUGCACGAAAGCGUGGGGAGCGAACAGGAUUAGAUACCCUGGUAGUC